AGGAAUGCCAUCAGCUACACAAGUUAAAACUGCACCUUAAUUACCAAGUCAUGCUGUUUUUCUCCAAGCAAUCUUAUCGUGAACUUUUUAAACAGAUAUAAAAGCAGUGGCCCAUUCAGUCAGACUAAAGAAUAACUGGGGAGAGAGUUGCUGAAGAGAUCAUGAGCAACAUUAAACUGGAUAAGUUAAAAUCUAUCUGGAACUAUUCGUGUGCCUUUCUUGUACCUGCGCUUCUGUUGCAGGGCUGAGUAUAAGCUAGUCCUCUUCCUUCUAGGACUCCUUGGCUACACCCAAUCUGCAGAAAUUGGGCUGGUGAACUGACUCCAGCCCAGUUUGCCCACCUUGGUGUCUCACUAAGAAUAAAUCAGGCUGAGUGGGAUCAUUAGCAUGUAUAUUUCCAGUUGGUGGUUAACAGAAUGGGAUUUACUGCAGCAGCUCUGUAUGCUGAGAAUGACACCAUACAGUCUGGGAUCUCUUUGGUCAGUUGGAGGUCAGUGGUCCCAGCUGCAUCCCCUCGUUGUGCACCCCAAGCCUGCAUGACUGGUGCUGAGAAUCACACAGUGUUUGAGACUGGAAGAGAACUCUGGAGGUCAUUGAGUCAACCCUACUGCUUCUCAAGCCAUGCCGCCUAGAGCAUGUUGUCCAGGGCUUUUGAAUAUCUCCA